UGAUUAAAAUUUCAUACUCUAUCUGAAUCAUGAAAGAAAAAAAAUUGGUUCAGUGUCCCUUUAAAGGGAUAGAAAACCCCCAAAAUGUUAUCUUUUAAAAAGAUAGAUAAUCCCUUUACCAUUCCCCAGAUUUGCAUAAGCAACACGGUUAUAUUAAUUUAAAAUGUUACCUCUGUAAUUACCUUGUAUCUAAGCUUCUGCAGACUGCCUCCUUAUCUCAGAUCUUUUGACAGACUUGUAUUUCAGGCAAUUAGUGCUGACUCUUAAAUAACUUUACGUGCAUGAGCACGUUUUCUAUAUGAAACACAUAAACUAACGCCCUCUAUCAGUGAAAAACUCAAAUGCAUUCAGAUAAUAGACGGCCUUUAAGGUUUUAGAAAUUAGCAUAUGAGUCUACCUAGGUUUAGCUUUCAACUAGGCCUGUGCGAUUCUCCUGUUUUUUUGUUUUUUUUUCCUUGAGAUUUUUAAAAAAUAUAUAUCCCUGCUCUACAGCUGUGGCUCUUCAUGAGGCAGCCCCCCCUAACAUGGGUAACAGUAAGACUCCUGGCAGUGGCGGAUCCAUAGGGGCAGCCAGGACUUGAACUGAUAUUGUGAAUCGGUUCACUAUCUGCACUGUUUUAUCACAGCCAGCCAACGUAUAGCCGAAGAAGCUAUUCAGAAUGUUAAAAUACAAUUUUGCACACAAAAAUGUAAUAAUAGUGCUAUUGGCAAACAAUGCAUUUUUUUUUAUAGGUCUGUGUAGUUGUACAUUUUGAAAACAAACACUUACAGUCCUGGGGCUGCAGUAAAACUCUUGUUCUUUAUUAAUCCAGUAAAAGCAUACAAGGAGACAUAAAAAACAAAAAGCAUGCCCUUAGUGUCUUAAGCUUACGCGUUUCGGCUGGUGUGCCGUACUUAUAGCUCUCUGACCACCUCCUCACUAAUGGGCUAUUUAAGAGGUCUAAAAACAUUUGAUUCGCUAAGGCUCAUGCUCUGAUUCAUUUAACUGUUUAGUUACUAAGCAAUUAAACUUAACCUACAAGUGUUCUAAUUUCUUCUAAAUUUGAAUUGCAUAGUACUUGCUGUCUAUAAUUUACAUGUAUCCACUGCACAGGAUUCACUGACAUAAUACAUUAUUUAAUAAAUGACAUUUAAACAA